AUGGAACAACAGCGGCGUGAGUGAAGAAGGGUUUCGGCUCCGUGAAGCUUCUGUUGUUGGAGAAGAACCUGCGUGAGAGUCACUGUUCUCGCCAUGACCGUAUCCAACCCCAAAGUCCGGCUAAUAACGUGCCAGCAGCCGCGGUAAAA
rnacentral:rRNA from 1 species